rnacentral:rRNA from 1 species
UUGAACGCUGGCGGCAUGCCUUACACAUGCAAGUCGAACGGCAGCACGGGGGCGACCCUGGUGGCGAGUGGCGAACGGGUGAGUAACGCAUCGGAACGUACCCGGAAGUGGGGGAUAACGUAGCGAAAGUUACGCUAAUACCGCAUAUUCUGUGAGCAGGAAAGAGGGGGAUCGCAAGACCUCUCGCUUCCGGAGCGGCCGAUGUCGGAUUAGCUAGUUGGCGGGGUAAAGGCCCACCAAGGCGACGAUCCGUAGCGGGUCUGAGAGGAUGAUCCGCCACACUGGGACUGAGACACGGCCCAGACUCCUACGGGAGGCAGCAGUGGGGAAUUUUGGACAAUGGGCGCAAGCCUGAUCCAGCCAUGCCGCGUGAGUGAAGAAGGCCUUCGGGUUGUAAAGCUCUUUCGGCGGGGAAGAAAUCGC